rnacentral:rRNA from 1 species
UACGUAGGGUGCAAGCGUUGUCCGGAAUUAUUGGGCGUAAAGAGCGUGUAGGCGGCCCGAUUAGUCCGCUGUGAAAGUCCAGGGCUCAACCCUGGAAUGCCGGUGGAUACUGUCGGGCUAGAGUCCGGAAGGGGCGAGUGGAAUUCCUGGUGUAGCGGUGAAAUGCGCAGAUAUCGGGAGGAACACCGGUGGCGAAGGCGGUUCUCUGGGCCUGUACUGACGCUGAGGAGCGAAAGCGUGGGGAGCGAACAGG